UUUCUUUACUCUCUCUCUCUCUAUGGAGUAACCAAACCCAAAACAAACACCGACAAGGUUUAUCCAGUCAGAUUCGAGUUCGACCAUCAUCAUCGUCAUUCAUAUAAAUAGUGAUCCAUACGUUGUGGGUUCAGUUUGUUUGGUUUGUGUUAUUUGAUUAGAUUAAGAAUUAGAAAUUAGAGUGAGAGAGAAGAUGAUGGUGGAGUUCUUUGUGCUGGGGUGCACCGGAGUUGUCGUGUUCCUUCACGGAGCCAAUUUCUUCUUCCACGCUCUCUCCUCUCACCUCGCCUUUCGAUCUCUCAGUUUCUUAGGAUUUGCUGGAUGGUAGAAAAAGAGAGAAGGGCAGAGAUGAUUUCUUCGCCAUGGCUGGUACAGAUCCCGGCAUGUUUUUGUAACUAUAUAUUAUUCUAUUUUUUGAGCAGUUUAUAGGAUAUGGGGAAAAUAAAAUGGCUAUAAAUAGAAGCCAUCAUCAACAUAUAUACGUUAGGUAAUGUAAUUGAUCAAUUACGUAAGAUCAAUUGUCAUGUAUUUAAUCCUUCCCCUCCGCUCGAAUCAUGGAAUGGUUUAGAAACUUUUUGCUUAUUCAAAGACUCUUCAAAUCCAUUUUGCUUUAAUCUAAACAAACGUCGUCUUUGUAAUAUUUGAGAAAUUUCUCUUUCUUUCUUUGGU